GGCCCUGUAGCUCAGUUGGACAGAGCGGCGGUUUCCUAAACCGCGUCCGCGGGCGUUCGAGUCGCCCCAGGGCUACCA
rnacentral:tRNA from 1 species